CGGUAUGAGCUUCCACCCCGCGGAAGGUCGUAGCAUGGUAAGAGGUCCUCGUGAUGCAAUUUCAAAGUAGUGUCUCCAAAAUGGCCGAUGGAGUUGCACACUUUCGACUGCACGCAAAAUUAGGUACUGCUGUUACAUCGUGAUUACACUAGAACCGCCCGGCCGCGAUGCCACCAGCAGCGAAUCUAACAAAACUUCAGCCCAACAGCUCGCGUUCAAUAAUGCCGCGAAAGCCACCACUCACUACCUUGAACAGCUUCCCUGCUCCGCCCCGUUGAUCCGCUUGGUGGGCCCCCCCCCACAUGGUCUGCCCGCUGAUCGCCUUGACCCUACUCGCUCCAACUCCAAUGCCCAAGAACACCUUAUCUAUAUUGGACAAGCGCCGGCCGUGACACUUAGGCUCAAACCACCGGCGGACAAAAGGAUAAGCUAAGGUCACAACACGGCGAAUAUCCAGAACAGGUUGUGACCACGGCAAACAGCACGUAACAGUACGACAGGAACUACGACAAAGCCACUACUUGCACUUGCAUCAUCCAAGAACCAGCUUACAUGGAACGUCGUGAAUUAAACCCAACGUCCAGGAACGUCCUUAUUCAACACAGGAGAUCAUUUGUUGAGGGAUGGGAAACGGCACGGCUCGCUUGCCUACCCACUAGACAGAAUGAGCAACCUGCUGCCUAGGAGCCGUACGGUUGCCUCAGGGUUUCUUACAUCAUAAAUGGCUGACAUAUUCACGCGUACGCAACAUACAUUCAGGCGUAUGUCGCGACUUCAAGCAACAAAAGAAGCCAACCGCCUCGCCAGCAGGCGCCAACCACAAUGUAAAAAUGUAAGGACGGUAUACAGUCAACAUCCCCACGAACACUCAAAUCGCCACCAAAAUCCGGACUGCGGAUAUCGGUAGGCGUUAGGUGGUAACCCAAAUGGAAUCACUUUCAGCUGCUAGCUUCAAGAUGUCAAAUGCAUGUUCACAAUGCUGUUCACAACGCCGGGUAUGCAUAGCGCUAUCCCUGCAGCGCUUGCAUGUGGGAGUGCAAUCAUCAUCGUCGUGUCCGAACCUUACCCAAACAAACAUGUCAAGGUUUUAGGUCAGGCUUCCGAAUUAUCUCUCAGGAUGGUCAAGUGCGCGCCCAAUGAACGAGGGAAAAAACCCAGAAGUUUCACGAUACUGCCGGUGCUGCUGCCGCAUGCACUGCAAGUAAAAGCCGUCCCAACAAGCAACGUACAGAUACGACGUUGUAUGUACACCUCGCCGUAUACGGUCCGUAAUUAUAUAAUUUUCUGAAUUACUACAGGCAAGAACAACCCGGGUACAAUAAAGGGAACGACAUCGCCGCACUGCGUUUCGCCAUGCAUAUUCAUGUUCUCGAAAACCGCAGCGGCGCACGACAGCCAAUCCAAUCGAGCAGCUUCUGAGGGUCAUGAAGCCCCACCACAGAUGCGACUCUCGGUGCGACGGGUAUGUGAACUGCACAUGCAUGUGUGUGUGUGUGUGUGUGCGUUACAUGGUCGUGGGAACGUUCCCCGUACCUGCAAACCGCCCAAUACGAGCCGAGGGCUCAAGGGCUGCCAGAUCGCCUAUAACCACCGUCCUACCUCGCACACACUUCAAACAAAGCAAGUGAUAAAGGAUACUAACGACCAAAGGGAACGAUAGAGUUGCCGCAGGCCCCUGCAGCCGCCGCACACCCCUACCUGAAUUGCGGACUGCUGCGCACAUCAUGACUCCGGCCAUUAUUUAUCGUAUGUUUGUCAUGACCGUCGGUGUUAUAAGCUUAGUUCGGACAUAUAGCACAGUAUAUAAGUGAAUGGUGCGGAGCACACGUACACAACUGUAGCAGCUGACCGCUGAAAAGGUCUCUCGAGUUGCUGGUGGUCGCGCUCUGCGCGUAUUUAUAGCGCCGUACUGUGUACCGGCUGCUACAACAACCAAAUAAUCCGUCGGGUCGUUGCCCAGUAAAACACGCGAUACAUUCCGAUUCAUGAGUCAGUGCCACCUUCUCGAGGCCAAGCGUUGAUGCAUAGGUGCUCAAGGAAUGGGGACGUUACACUGAUUCGUACAAUAACGUACGUACAUCAUUAACGUACGUACACUGAUACAAGGUGACUGAUGCUGCAAGCAUAGGUGGAGUCGACACCCAGGGUGGUGUUUAGCAGCAGCAGAGCCUGCCAGCCGUUCAUGAUCACGAAGGUUCGCUCCGUUUCGUUGCGCCUGUAAGCCGCCGACCUGUCUUGACCGCUCGGCAGCUUUCUUUUCACUGAAAUUACCUUCCAUACAGGCGAGCUCGGUUCACCCACUUUUUUGCCUUGACCAGGUUGUUACAAACAUAUAUGUAAAGCUCCAUAUGUGCGACCGCUCAUCCCGGAUCGCCCGAGGGGUUGGCGCCGUCCAUUACAGUAGUGGUGGUGUGGGGUCCUUGGUGUGGUGCGGUGUGGGGUCCUUGGCCACUGGGCCGCCGACCGGAGUCUCCGAGCCACUGCUGGGCAUCCUGACCAACAUGACCGGGGCUGCAUGU
rnacentral:lncRNA from 1 species